rnacentral:rRNA from 1 species
UACAGAGGUCUCAAGCGUUGUUCGGAUUCAUUGGGCGUAAAGGGGUGUGUAGGUGGCGCCGUAAGUCGGGUGUGAAAUUUCGGAGCUUAACUCCGAAACUGCAUUCGAUACUGCGGUGCUUGAGGACUGGAGAGGAGACUGGAAUUCAUGGUGUAGCAGUGAAAUGCGUAGAGAUCAUGAGGAAGACCAGUGGCGAAAGGCGGGUCGCUGG